GACGAACGCUGGCGGCGUGCUUAACACAUGCAAGUCGAGCGGAAAGGCUCCUUCGGGGGUACUCGAGCGGCGAACGGGUGAGUAACACGUGAGUAAUCUGCCCUGCGCUCUGGGAUAGCCACCGGAAACGGUGACUAAUACCGGAUAUGACCGCUACACGCAUGUGUUGGUGGUGGAAAGUUUUUCGGCGCAGGAUGUGCUCGCGGCCUAUCAGCUUGUUGGUGAGGUAAUGGCUCACCAAGGCUUUGACGGGUAGCCGGCCUGAGAGGGUGACCGGUCACACUGGGACUGAGACACGGCCAGACUCCUACGGGAGGCAGCAGUGGGGAAUAUUGGACAAUGGGCGGAAGCCUGAUCCAGCAACGCCGCGUGAGGGAUGACGGCCUUCGGGUUGUAAACCUCUUUCAGUACCGACGAAGCGAAAGUGACGGUAGGUACAGAAGAAGGACCGGCCAACUACGUGCCAGCAGCCGCAGUAAAAC
rnacentral:rRNA from 1 species